rnacentral:rRNA from 1 species
AAAUUGAAGAGUUUGAUCAUGGCUCAGAUUGAACGCUGGCGGCAGGCCUAACACAUGCAAGUCGAACGGUAGCACAGAGAGCUUGCUCUCGGGUGACGAGUGGCGGACGGGUGAGUAAUGUCUGGGAAACUGCCUGAUGGAGGGGGAUAACUACUGGAAACGGUGGCUAAUACCGCAUAACGUCGCAAGACCAAAGAGGGGGACCUUCGGGCCUCUUGCCAUCAGAUGUGCCCAGAUGGGAUUAGCUGGUUGGUGAGGUAACGGCUCACCAAGGCGACGAUCCCUAGCUGGUCUGAGAGGAUGACCAGCCACACUGGAACUGAGACACGGUCCAGACUCCUACGGGAGGCAGCAGUGGGGAAUAUUGCACAAUGGGCGCAAGCCUGAUGCAGCCAUGCCGCGUGUAUGAAGAAGGCCUUCGGGUUGUAAAGUACUUUCAGCGGGGAGGAAGGUGUUGUGGUUAAUAACCGCAGCAAUUGACGUUACCCGCAGAAGAA